GCGCAUAAGCUCGCUAUGCCCCUUACCGGGCGCGAGCGGUGUUGCGUUUCGGAGGGUCCGGCACGCUGCCCCACGACGCCUAAGUCAUGCUUGAAAGCGGCCACUACCCAUGGAGGGUGAUAGGCCCGUCUGGCGGAGCCCGUGAGGGCAUAAGUGGGGCGGUCGGAAAGGACCUUUCCGUAGAGUCGGGUUGCUUGAAAGUGCAGCCCAAAGCAGGUGGUAAACUCCAUCUAAGGCUAAAUACAACCACGAGA
rnacentral:rRNA from 1 species